rnacentral:rRNA from 1 species
AUUGAACGCUGGCGGCAUGCUUUACACAUGCAAGUCGAACGGUAACAUGUUAAGCUGACGAGUGGCGAACGGGUGAGUAAUGCAUCGGAACGUGCCCGGUCGUGGGGGAUAACGCAGCGAAAGCUGCGCUAAUACCGCAUACGAUCUGAGGAUGAAAGCGGGGGACCGUAAGGCCUCGCGCGAUCGGAGCGGCCGAUGUCAGAUUAGGUAGUUGGUGGGGUAAAGGCUCACCAAGCCAACGAUCUGUAGCUGGUCUGAGAGGACAACCAGCCACACUGGGACUGAGACACGGCCCAGACUCCUACGGGAGGCAGCAGUGGGGAAUUUUGGACAAUGGGCGAAAGCCUGAUCCAGCAAUGCCGCGAGCAGGAAGAAGGCCUUCGGGUUGUAAACUGCUUUUGUACGGAGCGAAAAGGUCUCCUCUAAUACAGGGGGCUCAUGACGGUACCGUAAGAAUAAGCACCGGCUAACUACGUGCCAGCCGCCGCCGUAA